AAAAUGAGAGUUUGAUCCUGGCUCAGGAUAAACGCUGGCGGCAUGCCUAAUACAUGCAAGUCGAACGGGGGUGCUUGCACCUCAGUGGCGAACGGGUGAGUAACACGUAUCUAACCUACCUUAUAGCGGGGGAUAACUUUUGGAAACGAAAGAUAAUACCGCAUGUAGAUCUUAUUAUCGCAUGAGAAAAGAUCAAAAGAACCGUUUGGUUCACUAUGAGAUGGGGAUGCGGCGUAUUAGCUAGUAGGUGAGAUAAUAGCCCACCUAGGCGAUGAUACGUAGCCGAACUGAGAGGUUGAUCGGCCACAUUGGGACUGAGAUACGGCCCAGACUCCUACGGGAGGCAGCAGUAGGGAAUUUUUCACAAUGGACGAAAGUCUGAUGAAGCAAUGCCGCGUGAGUGAUGACGGCCUUCGGGUUGUAAAGCUCUGUUGUAAGGGAAGAAAAAAUAAAGUAGGAAAUGACUUUAUCUUGACAGUACCUUACCAGAAAGCCACGGCUAACUAUGUGCCAGCAGCCGCGGUAAUACAUAGGUGGCAAGCGUUAUCCGGAUUUAUUGGGCGUAUAGGGUGCGUAGGCGGUUUUGCAAGUUUGAGGUUAAAGUCCGGAGCUCAACUCCGGUUCGCCUUGAAAACUGUUUUACUAGAAUGCAAGAGAGGUAAGCGGAAUUCCAUGUGUAGCGGUGAAAUGCGUAGAUAUAUGGAAGAACACCUGUGGCGAAAGCGGCUUACUGGCUUGUUAUUGACGCUGAGGCACGAA
rnacentral:rRNA from 1 species